GUGAUCAAUAAGACAAGUGGCCUAGGCUAGUGAUCGCAUUGCACAUAUCGUUUGG
rnacentral:snRNA from 1 species